rfam:Oryza rufipogon genomic scaffold, chr03
AAUAAAUGUAGUUUUACACUAUUCACGUUCAACGUUUGACCGUUCGUUUUAUUUGAAAUUUUUUUAUGAUUAGUAUUUUUAUUGCUAUUAGAUGAUAAAACAUUAAUAGUACUUUAUGUGUGACUAAAUAUUUUCAAAUUUUUUCAAAUAAGACGGACGGUCAAACAUUAAGCACAGAUAUCUAUGUCUGUAUUUAUU